rnacentral:rRNA from 1 species
GGGUUGUGAGGUUAAGCGACUAAGCGUACACGGUGGAUGCCCUGGCAGUCAGAGGCGAUGAAGGACGUGCUAAUCUGCGAUAAGCGCCGGUAAGGUGAUAUGAACCGUUAUAACCGGCGAUUUCCGAAUGGGGAAACCCAGUGUGAUUCGUCACACUAUCAUUAACUGAAUCCAUAGGUUAAUGAGGCGAACCGGGGGAACUGAAACAUCUAAGUACCCCGAGGAAAAGAAAUCAACCGAGAUUCCCCCAGUAGCGGCGAGCGAACGGGGAGGAGCCCAGAGCCUGAAUCAGCAUGUGUGUUAGUGGAAGCGUCUGGAAAGGCGCGCGAUACAGGGUGACAGCCCCGUACACAAAAGCGCAUGUGCUGUGAGCUCGAUGAGUAGGGCGGGACACGUGGUAUCCUGUCUGAAUAUGGGGGGACCAUCCUCCAAGGCUAAAUACUCCUGACUGACCGAUAGUGAACCAGUACCGUGAGGGAAAGGCGAAAAGAACCCCGGCGAGGGGAGUGAAAAAGAACCUGAAACCGUGUACGUACAAGCAGUGGGAGCCCCACCACUAAGCCAGUGGUGAACUCCACAUACGCAUCCUUUGCUGAGGAUACGGUUAACGGAGCGAAAGCGACGUUCAACCUCAAAAGAAGCAGAGGGGGCUUAGUGGUGGGGUGACUGCGUACCUUUUGUAUAAUGGGUCAGCGACUUAUAUUCUGUAGCAAGGUUAACCGCAUA